GAUGAAGAACGUAGCGAAAUGCGAUAAUUAAUGUGAAUUGCAGAAUUCCGUGAAUCAUCGAGUCUUUGAACGCACAUUGCGCCUCAUGGCAUUCCGUGAGGCAUGCCCAUCUCAGCGUUAGAAAAUAUUCUCAAAUUUUAGUUUUGUGCUAAAAUUUGGAUCAUGUCAAGGAAGCUAUUACUAUUAUUGUGAUCGCUCUUUGGAAAUUGAUAGGUCUUUGAGUUGCUACUCAUAGAACGUGAUGAAUCUUUCUUCGUUCUAUUGUAAUUCACUCUGGUAGUCCUGAAACUUGUAUGCCUGUGGCAUAUCUUGUAAUUUGACCUGAGAUUGGGUAGGGAUACCCGCUGAACUUAAGCAUAUCAAUAAGCGGAGGA
rnacentral:misc_RNA from 1 species